rnacentral:rRNA from 1 species
AGAUUGAACGCUGGCGGCAGGCCUAACACAUGCAAGUCGAGCGGUAACGCGGGGGCAACCCUGGCGACGAGCGGCGGACGGGUGAGUAACGCGUAGGAAUCUACCCAGUAGCGGGGGAUAGCCCGGGGAAACUCGGAUUAAUACCGCAUACGCCCUAAGGGGGGAAAGCAGGGGGAUCGUAAGACCUUGCACUAUUGGAAGAGCCUGCGUUGGAUUAGCUAGUUGGUAGGGUAAAGCCUACCAAGGCGACGAUCCAUAACUGGUCUGAGAGGAUGAUCAGUCACACCGGAACUGAGACACGGUCCGGACUCCUACGGGAGGCAGCAGUGGGGAAUAUUGGACAAUGGGGGCAACCCUGAUCCAGCCAUGCCGCGUGUGUGAAGAAGGCCUUCGGUUGUAAGCACUUAAGUGGGAGAAGGUUCGCUGUUAUACGCAGCGGAAUUGAUGACUACCCACAGAAUAAGCACCGCUAACUCUGUGCAGCAGCCG